UACGUAGGGGGCAAGCGUUGUCCGGAAUCAUUGGGCGUAAAGCGCGUGUAGGCGGCCCGGUAAGUCCGCUGUGAAAGUCCAAGGCUCAACCUUGGAAUGCCGGUGGAUACUGUCGGGCUCGAGUCCGGAAGAGGCGAGUGGAAUUCCUGGUGUAGCGGUGAAAUGCGCAGAUAUCAGGAGGAACACCGAUGGCGAAGGCAGCUCGCUGGGACGUGACUGACGCUGAGACGCGAAAGCGUGGGGAGC
rnacentral:rRNA from 1 species